rnacentral:rRNA from 1 species
UACGUAGGGGGCGAGCGUUGUCCGGAGUUACUGGGCGUAAAGGGCAUGCAGGCGGUCGGACGCGUUUCGGGUGACAGCGGGUGGCUUAACUACCCGAGUGGUCGAAAGACGGUUUGACUUGAGGACGCGAGAGGGACACGGAAUUCCGGGUGGAGUGGUGAAAUGCGCAGAUAUCAGGAAGAACACCCGUGGCGAAGGCGGCUCUCUGGGACGGUACUGACGCUGAGACGCGAAAGCGUGGGGAGCGAACAGG